rnacentral:sRNA from 1 species
GUAGGUGAACUUGCGGAAGGAUCAUUACUGUUGGUAACCGGGGGCCCCAUCGCCCCCGGACCCUCCACCCGUGACUACUGAACAUCCUUUGCCUCGGUCGGCCUAACGUGUUUGGAGCACGCCCUCUCGGGUGUGCUCCGCUCACGGGGCCCGGAUCCUGUGAUCCGGGAUGCGAAACCGCCGGCCGAUGGCACCUCUGAACCUCUUUGAAUAACGCAGUCUGAGUUUGAUGUUAAUCAUUAAAACUUUCAACAAUGGAUCUCUUGGUUCCCGCAUCGAUGAAGAACGCAGCGAAAUGCGAUAACUAAUGUGAAUUGCAGAAUUCCGUGAAUCAUCGAGUCUUUGAACGCACAUUGCGCCCCCUGGUAUUCCGGGGGGCAUGCCUGUCCGAGCGUCAUUGCACCCCUCAAGCACAGCUUGGUGUUGGGCGACCGUCCCGCGGGACGCGCCCCAAAUGCAUUGGCGGCACCGGCACUGGAGCCCGGAGCGUAUGGGAACACCGUCACGCCCACAGGACCCGGCCGGAGCUGGCCUUCAAUGAUCGCUAUUCAUCCUUGGUUUGACCUCGGAUCAGGUAGGGAUACCCGCUGAACUUAAGCAUAUCAAUAAGCGGAGGA